GACGAACGCUGGCGGCGUGCUUAACACAUGCAAGUCGAACGGAAAGGCCCUGCUUUUGUGGGGUGCUCGAGUGGCGAACGGGUGAGUAACACGUGAGUAACCUGCCCUUGACUUUGGGAUAACUUCAGGAAACUGGGGCUAAUACCGGAUAGGAGCUCCUGCUGCAUGGUGGGGGUUGGAAAGUUUCGGCGGUUGGGGAUGGACUCGCGGCUUAUCAGCUUGUUGGUGGGGUAGUGGCUUACCAAGGCUUUGACGGGUAGCCGGCCUGAGAGGGUGACCGGCCACAUUGGGACUGAGAUACGGCCCAGACUCCUACGGGAGGCAGCAGUGGGGAAUAUUGCACAAUGGGCGGAAGCCUGAUGCAGCAACGCCGCGUGCGGGAUGACGGCCUUCGGGUUGUAAACCGCUUUCGCCUGUGACGAAGCGUGAGUGACGGUAAUGGGUAAAGAAGCACCGGCUAACUACGUGCCAGCAGCCGCGGUGAUACGUAGGGUGCGAGCGUUGUCCGGAUUUAUUGGGCGUAAAGGGCUCGUAGGUGGUUGAUCGCGUCGGAAGUGUAAUCUUGGGGCUUAACCCUGAGCGUGCUUUCGAUACGGGUUGACUUGAGGAAGGUAGGGGAGAAUGGAAUUCCUGGUGGAGCGGUGGAAUGCGCAGAUAUCAGGAGGAACACCAGUGGCGAAGGCGGUUCUCUGGGCCUUUCCUGACGCUGAGGAGCGAAAGCGUGGGGAGCGAACAGGCUUAGAUACCCUGGUAGUCCACGCUGUAAACGGUGGGUGCUAGGUGUGGGGUCCAUUCCACGGGUUCCGUGCCGUAGCUAACGCUUUAAGUACCCCGCCUGGGGAGUACGGCCGCAAGGCUAAAACUCAAAGGAAUUGACGGGGCCCCGCACAAGCGGCGGAGCAUGCGGAUUAAUUCGAUGCAACGCGUAGAACCUUACCUGGGUUUGACAUGGAUCGGGAGCGCUCAGAGAUGGGUGUGCCUCUUUUGGGGUCGGUUCACAGGUGGUGCAUGGCUGUCGUCAGCUCGUGUCGUGAGAUGUUGGGUUAAGUCCCGCAACGAGCGCAACCCUUGUUCACUGUUGCCAGCACGUUAUGGUGGGGACUCAGUGGAGACCGCCGGGGUCAACUCGGAGGAAGGUGGGGAUGACGUCAAGUCAUCAUGCCCCUUAUGUCCAGGGCUUCACGCAUGCUACAAUGGCUGGUACAGAGAGUGGCGAGCCUGUGAGGGUGAGCGAAUCUCGGAAAGCCGGUCUCAGUUCGGAUUGGGGUCUGCAACUCGACCUCAUGAAGUCGGAGUCGCUAGUAAUCGCAGAUCAGCAACGCUGCGGUGAAUACGUUCCCGGG
rnacentral:rRNA from 1 species